rfam:Perkinsus marinus ATCC 50983 gcontig_1104296715062, whole genome shotgun sequence.
AUGGAUAAGGGGUUGGUCUUCGGAACCAAAGAUUAUGGGUUCGAGUCCCAUCGAGAUCG